rnacentral:tRNA from 1 species
AUGCUCUACCCUCUGAGCUAAGUGGGC